CUAGGAUGGCCUUAGCUGGAUGACUUGUCUCUGCUCCACGUGUUUCUUGGAGGCCUUCAGCAGGGUAGCCUGGGCUUGUUCUCACAAUAGUAGCAAAGAUUAUAGAGAGGAAGUAAAAAGGUACAAGUGCUUUUUACAGUCCCUCUUUGCAUCCCAUUUGCUUACUGUCCAAUUGGCCAAAGCAGAUUGCAUAGCCAAGCGCAGAAUCAAUAUAAGUAUUUAAUUCAAUCAAGCUACCUCUGUCACUAACCUGCGUUUUAAGGUGGUAGGACCUGUUAGCUGUAGGGCUGUGGCUGUGUUGAAUGGGAGGCUGGCUGGGGCUAGAGUGAAUAACUGAAGACAACCAAGGAGAGACUGAGCACCUUCACCAGUUGCCGCCUUCCCCUCUGCCAUUUCUCCUUACAACAGGCUUCAAUACUGACACAGUGUUUACGGAAUACCAUGUUGAAGAGAACCAGGAAGAGGAGUGGAAAGUGAUGAAGCUUUCACUCAGUGCACCACACUGACCUGGAAAUCCUGAUUCCUGCUUUUGAAAAAUCUUCCUGGCUGCUAGAGUGGAUGAGGUUUGAGUACCGGGAAAUGUGUUAGGAGGCUGUUUCAGGGCUUCAGCUGGGAGUAACUUGAAUGGCUGAGGCUGGAACAGCUGAACCUGGAGGAUCCACUUCCAAGAUGGCUUCCCCUCUCCUGUGCCUCUUCCCUGGGCUGAAGGCCUGACUCAGCUGGAAAUGUUGACCAAGAUGCCAAUGUGAAGUACUAAGGUAGCCCAUCUCUUAUAGGACUAUGUAGCCCUCCAAGAGCAAGUGUUCCCAGUGACCAAGGUCAUGGCCUUUGAUGACCUAGCCUUAAAAGUCACACAGCAUCACUUCCACUGGAAACUGUGAGCCACCUAAGUUCAAGGGAGUAGACGUUGACUCUACCUUGUACAGGAUGGAGCAGCAAAGAAUUUAGGAUCAUGCUUAAAGCUACCGCAUCUUACUCAUCAUCUCCCUCACUAGAAAUUAAGCUCUAUGACACAGGGACUUCUGUAUCCUAUGUAUUAGUCACAGUUCUCUAGAGAAAUAGAACCAAGAGGAUACACAGAGAAAUAUAUAAAUGGAGAUUUAUAGUACGGUAGAGUAGCUCACACCUGCUAGUAAUCUCAGCACUUUGGGAAGCUGAGGCAGGAGGAUCCCAUGAGUUCAGGAGUUCAAGAUCAGCUUGGGCAACAUAGCAAGACAGUGCCUCUACAAAAAAAAAAAAAAAAAAUUAAAAAAUAGCUGAGUGUCGUGGUACAUGCCAGCUACUUGGGAAACUGAGUGGGGAGGAUGACUUGAGUCCAGGAGUUUGAGGCUACAGUGAGCUACGAUGAUGCCACCGCACUCCAGCUUGGGAGACAGAGUGAGACUUCAUCUCUUAAAAAAUAAAAAUAAUUUAAAAAGAGAUUUCUUAUGCGCAUUGGCUCACGUGAUUGUGGAGGUGAGAAGUUCCGUGCCAGCUGUUUGCAAGCUGGAAAGCCAGAACACUGGUGGUAUAAUUCUGAAUCUGAAUGCCUGAGAACCAGGAGAGCCACUGGUUUUAGGCCCAGAGUCCAAAGGCCUGAUAACCAGGAACUGCAAUGUCUGAGGGCAAGAGAAGUCAGAGGUACCAGAUCGAGAAGAGUGAAGGAGAAUUCAUCAUUCCUCUGCCUUUGUGUUCUAUUCAGGCCCUCAAUAGAUUGGAUGAUGCCCAUCCAUAUUGGUGAGAGCAGAUCUUCACUCAAUCUACUGAUUCAAAUGCUAAUCUCUUCUAGAAACACCCUCACAGGCACACCCAGAGACAAUGCUUUACCAGCUAUCUGGACAUCCCUGAGUCCAGUCAGAUUAACUGUCACACCCUAGUACGUAGAAAGAUAUAUAUUUGUUGAAUGAAUGAAUGAAUGAAUGAUGGAUAUAAAACCAUGGAACCAGAUGAGAUCACUUAGGGAGACAGUACUAGAGGAAAGAUUACAGGGCUCAAUACAAAGCCCUCAGGGACACUCCAACAUUUAGAGAGUGUGAUCAAAGAGGAAGCAAUAAAGUUAUUUUCCAUGGAUCAUCUGAGCCCCUCGAAAAUUAGUCAAGGAGACAUGCCUACCUAGAACUUAUGCUUCAACCUCUCCAUUAUGCAGUUGAACAGAACCUGGCAUUCUCUGUCCUUGUGGUCUUGAGCUCCCUUCCUCAAAAAGACAGGCCACGCAGCCAUCAUGUGCACCCCUAGUUCCUAAGGUCAGUUUUUUGGUGUUGGAUUGGGAGGCAGUGAGUUGAACGUAUGAUCUGGGGAGACCAUACAUAAGUAGGGAGACCCCCUGUGCUUUGAGAUAAAGUCAGAGGUGGUAAGAGAACGGGAGUACGCUAUGAGCAGGGGCCCAGGACUCAGGAACCACCUCUCAUCAAUCACCAUAUUCCUUGGUGCAGAACUUGGAGGGGCUGAGGAUUCAAAACUUGAACCUGGCUUCCCAGGUUGCUACAAAGUCAUAUUUGUCAAGGCAGAAUACUAGAACAUAUUUUAUUUAGCAGUUUUUUCAGCUUGAUUAGGAUGCUAGAAUAUAUUUUAUUUAGCAGUUUGUUAGCUUAAUUUAUAACUUUUAAUAUUUUGGCAUACGUAGGGAGACAUUUGUUCAAUUGCUCUUGGUUCUUUAACUGUUAGAGUUGGGCAUAGUUAGGUGAAGGGUCUGAGGUGGGACAGUGUUGCUACCUCCAGAAGCCAGGAUAUCUGAGCCUCAGUUCCAAUCCAUGGAAACCCAUGCUGCACUGGCAAUUAAAAUUUGCAAAAAUUGGAUUAUGUUGCCACCAAGGGAACUGUGAGAAUGCUCUAAUAAAAUCAUGAUCUAAACUUCCAGACCUCUCCCAGAUAUGAUUAACAAAGAUCGAGAAUGCUUUUCUAUUUAAUUAGGGAUUUUAUGAAGUAGGAGUCCUCAAGUAAGCAGCUAUGCAUAAAUCUCAGUCUCUGCAUUUAAUGGGAUGUAUUAUUUAAGUUUUAAAAUUCAGGAGUCCAGUGUUUGUAAAAACAUUAGUCUAUGUUAUAAGAUGCUACAGCUUGGUUGAUCACAGAGACCCCUUUGUUCACAGAAGUAUCUGUAACAAGCCAGGUUUACUUUCAAACAUAU